CUCAAGACCCGACUAUGGAGCAGCGGAUGAAAGCGAUGGAAGAUUGGUAGUCGCGUCAGGAGUCGGAGCUACUCCAGAUGGCGGAGGAAGAACGGAGGCGUCGGGAGCAGAGGGAGCUGGAAUUCACCCAGUUUAUAUCGACUCUACCUUCUGAUGCUCAGGAGGCAUAUAGGAGACGGUUUUUGGCGGAUCAGGCUGGGACUUCUCGACAAGGUGGAGUUGGUGAUGAGGAUGAGGAUGAUGAUGAUCGGGACUGAGUUUAUUUGUUUUAACAUUAAAAACAAUGGGUGUG